rnacentral:rRNA from 1 species
UACGGAGGGGGCUAGCGUUGUUCGGAAUUACUGGGCGUAAAGCGCACGUAGGCGGCUUUGCAAGUUAGAGGUGAAAGCCCGGGGCUCAACUCCGGAAUUGCCUUUAAACUCGCAUCGCUAGAGUUGUGGAGAGGUAAGUGGAAUUCCGAGUGUAGAGGUGAAAUUCGUAGAUAUUCGGAAGAACACCAGUGGCGAAGGCGACUUACUGGACACAUACCUGACGCUGAGGUGCGAAAGCGAUGGGGAGCAA